rnacentral:misc_RNA from 1 species
GGAAAGCAUGACAGCACCGGACACCAAACCCAACCCGACAUAUAUCCAUUUCAUGUAUAGUCGGAGGCCAGGGCAAUGGUUGUUAUUGAUAUCCGUAAACACUUGUCGAACGAAUGUACAGUCUACGAGUUCGACCAAGAACGGUCCAUAGCGAUACAAACCAUAGCUCACGUUUGCUGCUGAUGUCAUUUGGUUGUAGAAAGUUG